rnacentral:piRNA from 1 species
UGCCACUGGUAGGGCAAUCAAGG